UACGAAGGGGGCUAGCGUUGUUCGGAAUUACUGGGCGUAAAGGGCGCGCAGGCGGCUCUUCAAGUCAGAUGUGAAAGCCCCGGGCUCAACCUGGGAACUGCAUUUGAGACUGGAGAGCUUGAGUUCGGGAGAGGAUGGUGGAAUUCCCAGUGUAGAGGUGAAAUUCGUAGAUAUCGGGAAGAACACCCGUGGCGAAGGCGGCUCUCUGGGACGGUACUGACGCUGAGACGCGAAAGCGUGGGGAGCGAACAGG
rnacentral:rRNA from 1 species